rnacentral:sRNA from 1 species
UGAGAAGAGGAUGUGGUGGGAGCUGGACUCCAGGACAGUGUCCCAGGCAACAAGCAAGGAGUUGUUUGAGGGGAGGAGCAGUGCUGGGGAACAUUCUUUCCAACUGGCUUGGGUUGCACAGUGAAAAUGAAGCCCCGCCCCUCCCAGCCUCCCUGGAAGACAAAGCCCCACCUCCGUCCGGCUACCUGGGAGAUGAGGCCCCACCCCUUUUUUACUCCUUGGGAGAUGAGGCCCCGCCCCUCUUAAACUCUGGGAGAUGGAGCCCUGCUCCCUGUGUCUUCCUGGGAGAUGAGGCCCCACCGCCUGCCUUCCUGACAUGAAGCCCCUCCCCUAUGAGGAUCCUCUACACCACAUACUACGAGUCCAUCACCAACAGGGGCCCCUUCUUCGGCUACUACUUCUUCAACGGGCUUCUGAUGUUGCUGCAGC